ensembl:piRNA 21ur-10472 ncRNA
UAAUAGUUUUGAAAAAAAAAA